rnacentral:rRNA from 1 species
CAAUAGCGUAUAUUAAAGUUGUUGCAGUUAAAAAGCUCGUAGUUGGAUUUCUGGUGGGAGCGACCGGUCGGCGCUUAACGGCGUGUGCACUGGAGUUGUCUCUUGCCAUCCUUGAGGAGAACGUGUCUGGCAUUAAGUUGUCGGGCUUGGGAUCCUCAUCGUUUACUGUGAAAAAAUUAGAGUGUUUAAAGCAGGCAUUUGCUGUGAAUACAUUAGCAUGGAAUAAUAAGAUAGGACUUUGGUACUAUUUUGUUGGUUUGCGUACCAAGGUAAUGAUUAAUAGGGAUAGUUGGGGGUAUUCGUAUUCAAUUGUCAGAGGUGAAAUUCUUGGAUUUAUGGAAGACGAACAACUGCGAAAGCAUUUACCAAGGAUGUUUNCAUUA